rnacentral:rRNA from 1 species
AGCGAACGCUGGCGGCAGGCCUAACACAUGCAAGUCGAACGAACCUUUCGGGGUUAGUGGCGGACGGGUGAGUAACACGUGGGAACGUGCCUUUAGGUUCGGAAUAACUCAGGGAAACUUGUGCUAAUACCGAAUGUGCCCUUCGGGGGAAAGAUUUAUCGCCUUUAGAGCGGCCGGCGUCUGAUUAGCUAGUUGGUUGAGGUAAUGGCUCACCAAGGCGACGAUCAGUAGCUGGUCUGAGAGGAUGAUCAGCCACAUUGGGACUGAGACACGGCCCAAACUCCUACGGGAGGCAGCAGUGGGGAAUCUUGCGCAAUGGGCGAAAGCCUGACGCAGCCAGGCCGCGUGAAUGAUGAAGGUCUUAGGAUUGUAAAAUUCUUUCACCGGGGACGAUAAUGACGGUACCCGGAGAAGAAGCCCCGGCUAACUUCGUG